rnacentral:lncRNA from 1 species
CGUCAGCGCUGUUGUUGACAUUAGCUUCAGCAGCAGAAAUGAUUUUAAUCUUUCUCGUCAUUAAAGCGCAGUUUUGCGGAUGAAAAAAUGUGCUUUUUCCCCGCGGUUCUUCUGCUCCUGGACCGGGCCGCUCUCCUCAUGAAUCCCGCAGACACUUUAUGAAGUUUAAUCCGCGGAAACAGCUCUGAAAGUGGAGUUUUUUUUACCCGCGCGGCUAACAGCUAAAGCUAACGAGCUAACAGCUAACUCUCUCAGGUGAAAUGUCGACUUCGUUUAAAAUCCCAAAAGAAGCCGCUCGGAGUCGGACUCGGUGCAGAUGACGUCGCCGCUGUCCCGGCUCCAGAGCCCGCGGAGACACAGGACAAGGGUUUCGCUCCGUUCAGAGACAGGACUCUCUCUGGGAACAGCUCCUCCGUGACUCCUCUCAGAGGAACAAACUCUCACAAACUCCACCUGAAGCCCAGACUCGGACACAAACCGGCCGAGCCUUUCUCCAACGGGUGGCGCCCUAAGCGAGCGUCGGACCGGCUGCUGUCGCCUGUGGCUGUUUCUCGAGUCGAGCAGAAAAAUGAAGAAAGUUCAGAUUCUGCUGAAGAUUCUCCUCAGAAGAAAAUCUCGCCUCUGUCGGAGCCGUCUCCUCUGCGCCCGAUCUCCGUCCGAUCCCUCGACUCUUUGUCCGCGCUCCGAGCAGAACGGCAUCAUGGGAGUCCUGGAGACGACCGGAAGAGGACGCCCCAAACUGAGACCAGUUUGUCCUGGUCCAGAGUGAGUUCAGUCUCUGCAGCUGCUGCUCCUUCAACAUCCACCACGAGCAGCGGGAAACCUCCAUCAGGAGCCUCAGGAGCCACAGACCAGAGCGUCUGGUCCGACCUCAGUGACGUCCGGGAGAAGCAGAGGGAGAAAUGGAGACAGUUCAAAGAGAAGAACAAAACCGAAGUCAGGCCGGGAUCCGGACCAAACCCCAGACCAGGACCAGGACCAGGACCACGGCCAGCUCCGAGCCCAUCGUUCUGUCCAGUGAAGAGGAGGAGGAAGAGGAGCAGGGCGGGGUCGACAGAACCGUCCAAUCAGAUCGCUCCGAGCGCUCACAGAGCCGCGCCCCCUCAGAGUCUCCGCCCUCCUUCAUGCAGCUGGACUUCUUCUCCUUCCACUCAGGGCUGUGCAGCGCUCAGGCCAACGGCUCCAUCACGAUCACGCAGAGCGGCCUCAGCCUCCCCCUCAGAGGAGCGGACGGCCUGCAGGGGGAGCUGUGCGUCAUGGCGUCUCAGGUUCGAGGUUUCGGUUUGUGGGACGGGGGCGUGGCCAGGGGCGGGACUCUGUUCAGCGACUCCUCAGGCCCCGCCCCCUCGCUGCUCUUCCUGUCGGUCAGCGACGCCCAGUCCACACUUCUACAGACGGAGCUGAGGGAGAUACUGCCCCACACAGACCCAGUGUGGUGUGGUCUGCUGGAGCUG